rnacentral:misc_RNA from 1 species
AAGUCGUAACAAGGUUUCCGUAGGUGAACCUGCGGAAGGAUCAUUAUUGAAGCUCGGAAUGCAUGUCCGGUGUUGAUGCUGCCCAGCAAUGGGAUGUGCUCGCUCGGACGUGUGUCCCUUCUCUAUUCCACCCCUUUGUGAACCAAGUGUGCGAGCCGAAGAGAGAUCGGAAGCUCGCAUGCAAACCUUAACAUACCCCAAUGAAGUAUCAGAAUGUAACUUGCGUUAACUCGCACAAAUAUAACUUUCAACAACGGAUCUCUUGGCUCUC